CGGAGGUGGCAAGCGUUACUCGGAAUUAUUGGGUGUAAAGGGCAAGUAGGCGGUCUAAUAAGUGGGUGGUGAAAUACUCUGGCUCAACCGGAGAACUGCCUUCCAAACUGUUAGACUUGAGUGUGACAGAGGAUAAUGGAAUUCUCGGUGUAAGGGUGAAAUCUGUAGAUAUCGAGAAGAACACCAGCGGCGAAGGCGAUUUUCUGGGUCACUACUGACGCUAAAUUGCGAAAGCUAGGGGAGCAAACAGAAUUAGAUACUCUGGUAGUCCUAGCCGUAAACGAUGAGCACUAGGUGUUGGCUCCUUUAGGAGUCGGUGCCGCAGCUAACGCAUUAAGUGCUCCACCUGGGGACUACGGUCGCAAGGCUA
rnacentral:rRNA from 1 species